UACGGGGGGGGCAAGCGUUGUUCGGAAUUACUGGGCGUAAAGGGCUCGUAGGUGGCCAACUAAGUCGGACGUGAAAUCCCCAGGCUCAACUUGGGAACUGCGUCCGAUACUGGAUGGCUUGAAUUCGGGAGAGGGAUGCAGAAUUCCAGGUGUAGCGGUGAAAUGCGUAGAUAUCGGGAGGAACACCAGUAGCGAAGGCGGCUCGCUGGGCCGCACCUGACGCUGAGACGCGAAAGCUAGGGGAGCGAACAGG
rnacentral:rRNA from 1 species